rnacentral:tRNA from 1 species
CAGAAAAUAGUUUAUAAAAAUAUUAACUUUGGAAGUUAAAGAUCGGAACUUUCUGUUUUCUGA